rnacentral:lncRNA from 1 species
UACCAGUAAAACCAACUGAAUGCAGAAUAAAUUUUGCAGUUCCAUUGGAUCCGGUGUUGUCAAGGGAAUGUUUGUUUUUUUUUGGCAGAUGUUAAGAUUUUAUUGUGCUUCCUCUGGAACCAUACACAUGGGGUCGAUUACUGGAUAUUCAUAUGUUUAAUUAAUGUUUUUUUUUUUACUUUUCGUCGUUUCGCUGUUAAUUUGUAUUCAAAUUUUAAUGUCGUUAUCAAUAAAUAUUUAAUUAUUUACGAGAAAUGUAUAUUUAAAAUUGAGAAUGGAAAUGGGGAAUGUGUCAAAGAGACAACAACCCGACCAAAUAAAAAACAACAGCAGAGGGUCACCAACAGGUCUUUAAUGUAGCGAGAAAUUCCCGCACCCGGAGGCGUCCUUCAGCUGGCCCCUAAACAAAUAUAUACUAGUCCAGUGAUAAUGAACGCCAUACUAAUUUCCAAAUUGUACACAAGAAACUAAAAUAAAAUAAUACAAG